CUUUCCCUCUUUCUUCAGGCCUAACACAUGCAAGUCGAACGGUAACAGGAAACAGCUUGCUGUUUCGCUGACGAGUGGCGGACGGGUGAGUGAUGUCUGGGAACCUGCCUGAUGGAGGGGGAUAACUACUGGAAACGGUAGCUAAUACCGCAUAACGUCGCAAGACCAAAGAGGGGGACCUUCGGGCCUCUUGCCAUCGGAUGUGCCCAGAUGGGAUUAGCUAGUAGGUGGGGUAACGGCUCACCUAGGCGACGAUCCCCAGCUGGUCUGAGAGGAUGACCAGCCACACUGGAACUGAGACACGGUCCAGACUCCUACGGGAGGCAGCAGUGGGGAAUAUUGCACAAUGGGCGCAAGCCUGAUGCAGCCAUGCCGCGUGUAUGAAGAAGGCCUUCGGGUUGUAAAGUACUUUCAGCGGGGAUGAAGGGAGUAAAGUUAAUACCUUUGCUCAUUGACGUUACCCGCAGAAGAAGCGCCGGCUAACUCCGUG
rnacentral:rRNA from 1 species